UUGUGGUCCCAGAGUUUUCGGUGGAAAUGGGUAACCAUAUUUGGAUGAAUAUCAUAAUUUUAUUAAUAUCAUAUUUUUAUGAAUAUCAUAUUUUUAUUACGUACUUAAUUACUUCCUAAGCUCAUGAAUAAUUUAUUGGGUCCAUAAAUCACUGUUUGACAUAAGGGGUAUAAUAUCCCUCUCUUACUAACCCCAAUUUUAGUAACUCAGUAAUUAUUAUUUCCUUGUAAGAUAAAAUUUUGGACAUGGACAUGGAAAAAUAUAAAUAGAUGACCCAAAAUGCUUUACAGGUUUACUUACAGGCAUUCAAUUUCAAAGCGUGGCAAGUAGUAAUACAGAUCCACGCUUCCCUCCGCCACCUCACCCACCCCACCCCUUAUCCCCUCAACCCCAUUUGAUAAACAGCACUGUAAGAGUGAUCUGGUGAAGCUAAAAAAUCCCUCUCAACAAAUAAGAGAGCUACUGAGGGCAGUUAUGUGUCUCGGAUUUCGACUGUGAUCAAGUUUUUUUUAUGACUUAACCCUCGAGGAAGCUUUCUGGCUAUUUUUCUUUCUUUUUUUCAACUUUAACUUAACACUAAUUUUUCUGCAAUUUGAAGCUGCAUUUCCAGUGGUCUUUUUUUAUAUAUUAUAUGAAUAACAGUGGUAACACUUUACUGUAACACUUUAGAGAUUCAAAAUUCUUUAGCUCCAGUUUUUGACACAGCUCUUUCCUUUGUUGAUUUUUGACUUUUUCAUUUUUUGCAUUUCUGUGGAUCAUCUUCUGGACUUUUGUCUCCUUUUCCAGGACUCCACAGCUGUCUAUCGCUUAUUUUCAGUCAGCUCCCGUUAACACUUCUAUUUUUCAGAAGAAAGAAGUGGAGGAAGGAAAUCUCUCAGACAGAUCCCCAGCAAAAAGAUCACUGUCACAGUCCUUCCAGAGAGCAAAGAUCUCCAGGUAGCUUAUAUAGUGGCGAAAGUAAUGUUUCUGUCAUGAAUGAUGCCGGUUCUUCAGCAUUAGUUCAUGACAAAGUGUUGUUCUGGUUAUCAUAGCUGUUAAAUUAGCACACUGAUUACUAGAGAUGGGAACUGAGAAAUGGUUUUUGUAGCAAACUGGUUCCCAGUAGUCCAGUUCAUUGUGAUUGUUAGUCUGCCUGCCUAUCAAUCCUUAUUGGUUCCUGUUUCACUUGCGCUACAGCUGAUUUCAUCUGAUUUCAGGAAAACAGCAGCGCAGUCCACAGCAUGAAUAUGGAGUUCUUUUAGUCUUAGAUUUUUUUCAUGUUAUUUUGCUUUCACUUUCUGCCAUGUUUCAGUGUUAAUUACUGUUUAACCUCUCUGACACUUGUUUUUUUUGUUCCUUCUCACUGACUUUUUAUCUUUGCAUUGCUAUGAUACAAAGAACCUGCUAAAGUAACCCCUAAAGCAAACCUUCUUCAAAUGUUUGUUUCACAGGUUACUUUUGCAAAUGGGUCACUGUGUUAGUCCAUCCUUUUCUUAAUUAAAUCAUUCAAUUUUCAGUCAGUUUUAAGAAAAGGUGUAUGGUGUAUAGAAAGUUAGAUUUCUGGGGUUUAUUACACUUUUGAAUGCAUACUGGAUUUAUGCCUCUCAAAACUGACUUACUGAAGUUAGAUUUCUAACUUGAUCUUCCAUCUAUUGUCUCCUUACAACAGGUAGUCUGACAGAGAAUGUUUUUUUUUUUUUUAACUUUAAUUCAAUC
ensembl:lncRNA